UGUGGAUUUGUUCUUCAUUGCUCCAGAUUUCAAGACAUGGAAUAAUGGAUUAAAAUGGUAAGGUAUUCUGAUCAAAUAUUAGCUAGCUUCUUGAUGGAAAGAACAAUUCUAUUGGAAUAAAUUGAAUUCUUGCAGACAAAGCAACCCACAGAAUUAAUGAUAGGAACAGGAAUGAAUCUACUGUCAUCCAAAGAUGCUUAUAUUAUGGUGCCAACAGAGGAGGAGCUGGUGUGAUGGACUAUAGUGAAGGACCAGAUUUCCAAGAAGGAGGGAAAGAAGAACGAGUUUCAGAAGUGCAGGAAUCUGUGAGGGCUGACCUCCUAUGGAUGCAAGUGGCAAACUGUGCCUAUUUGUAAAGCAAUUAACAAAGGUUGUAUUCCUCAGAUUACCUUGGAGGACUACCUCAAAGAACUAACAAAGGAUUAAUAAAUACUGAUGAUACUCUGCAGAGAGUUGUACCACCCUUCUGAAUUAUAGAAGGAACUGUGUGAAGGGUCCCCGUCUUCUUUGAUCAGUUGGUAUAUUAAGAAUGGUUGACAGAAACAAAAAUACUAGGGUUGAUCUCCAUUUCCGAACAUCCAAAAUUCAGGUCUUCCUUGAAUCUGUGCUCCUCUGGCCCACAUCUUGACAGAUGGAAGAAAAGCACAUCCUGUUC